rnacentral:rRNA from 1 species
CCAGACUCCUACGGGAGGCAGCAGUGGGGAAUAUUGCACAAUGGGGGGAACCCUGAUGCAGCGACGCCGCGUGAGUGAAGAAGUAUUUCGGUAUGUAAAGCUCUAUCAGCAGGGAAGAAAAUGACGGUACCUGACUAAGAAGCCCCGGCUAACUACGUGCCAGCAGCCGCGGUAAUACGUAGGGGGCAAGCGUUAUCCGGAAUUACUGGGUGUAAAGGGUGAGUAGGCGGCAUGGUAAGCCAGAUGUGAAAGCCCGGGGCUCAACCCCGGGACUGCAUUUGGAACUGUGCUGCUAGAGUGUCGGAGAGGCAGGCGGAAUUCCUAGUGUAGCGGUGAAAUGCGUAGAUAUUAGGAGGAACACCGGUGGCGAAGGCGGCCUGCUGGACUGUGACUGACGUUGAGGCCCGAAGGCGUGGGGAGCAAACAGGAUUAGAUACCCUUGUAAG